CACGUAGGCGGCGCAGCAAGUCAGGGGUGAAAUCCCGGGGCUCAACCCCGGAACUGCCCUUGAAACUGCAGUGCUAGAAUCUUGGAGAGGCGAGUGGAAUUCCGAGUGUAGAGGUGAAAUUCGUAGAUAUUCGGAAGAACACCAGUGGCGAAGGCGACUCGCUGGACAAGUAUUGACGCUGAGGUGCGAAAGCGUGGGGAGCAAACA
rnacentral:rRNA from 1 species